ACAAGCUGAGGGGGAGAAACCACAUAUAUGACGUCGACAAGGACCUUGGAUAUGGUGCCAACACCACCCUGUCUCCUCUGGCUGUGGACACAUUUUCCUUGUGGACACCCUAUUAGGUCAUCAACAUGAGGUCACCUCUGUUUACUGUCCCUCUUCAGCCAGCCAAAUCAGCCCAGCCAAGCUAUUUACCCCAGAGGCUGCACACUGGGCACACACACCCAGACAGAGGAAGAAGGAUAGAAAGAAGAUGGAUGAAAAAUGGAGAAAAGCAAGGAAUAAAGAUGAUGAAUUCAAGGAAACAAGAGAGGAGACGUGAAACAAAGAUUAAUUCCCGGCCGACUCCGGAGGAAGGUUCAUUAUCCAGAGCGUUGAAGGAUCUCCAGGUUCCCGACAGCCGGGCAGAUAUGAUGGUCGCGCUAAAGGUCUCGUUACUGCUCCUUGUGAGGAAACUGAGCUGAGGGAGUUUUGUACGCCAAACGACAUCAUUAUAUAAGUGAGCAUGCUGUCAAGGUGGCAGCGGGAGCAGCAUAGAGGUGGUGGUGAUGUAGAGAGGAGGGUACAUUUGUUCUGAGAUUAGCCAGGAGCCAGCUCUCAACUCCUCCGCUGUAGUCUGGAGUUCAUUAGCAGAGCUAUUAUCAAGCCUUGUUCUUCCGCGGAGAUGAACAGCAGCAGCUCUAAUCUAACUGCACUCACUGAAAAUCUAAUACAUCAGAUUUGAAAAUUGUGGCACCCACCCUACAUCAAAUAAGUAUAUCAUAUGUAAAAGGCUCUGGGGAGAAUGGUGCCAGAGUGCUGUUUUGUUGACUAACUAAUAUGAGCUUUUAUCUCCUAGGAACAUUUGAUCUCUCUCCAUAAACAUGUAUGGUUGAGUGGAUCUUAAAUGGGGGUGGAAUAAACAGAUUUCAUUA